rnacentral:rRNA from 1 species
AUUGAACGCUGGCGGCAGGCCUAACACAUGCAAGUCGAACGAGUGGCGGACGGGUGUGUAAUGUCUGGGAAACUGCCUGAUGGAGGGGGAUAACUACUGGAAACGGUAGCUAAUCCCGCAUACCAUCAGAUGUGCCCAGAUGGGAUUAGCUAGUAGGUGGGGUAACGGCUCACCUAGGCGACGAUCCCUAGCUGGUCUGAGAGGAUGACCAGCCAAACGGGAACUGAGAAUAGGUCCAGACUCCUACGAGAGGCAGUCGGGGGGAAGAAUGCACAAUGGGCGCUAGCCUGCUGCAGCGAUGCCGCGUGGAUGAAGAAGGCCUUCGGGUUGUAAAGUACUUUCAGCGGGGAGGCGUUACCCGCAGAAGAAGCACCGGCUAACUCCGUGCCAGCAGCCGCGGUAAUAC